CCCGGUGUAGCCCAACAGCAGAGGCGCUCCGCUCAAACCGGAGUCAGUGCAGGUGCAACUCCUGCCAUCGGGACCA
rnacentral:tRNA from 1 species